UAGGGAAUCUUCCACAAUGGACGCAAGUCUGAUGGAGCAACGCCGCGUGAGUGAAGAAGGUCUUCGGAUCGUAAAGCUCUGUUGUUGGUGAAGAAGGAUAGAGGCAGUAACUGGUCUUUAUUUGACGGUAAUCAACAGAAAGUCACGGCUAACUACGUGCCAGCAGCCGCGGUAAUACNUAGGUGGCAAGCGUUGUCCGGAUUUAUUGGGCGUAAAGCGAGCGCAGGCGGAAUGAUAAGUCUGAUGUGAAAGCCCACGGCUCAACCGUGGAACUGCAUCGGAAACUGUCAUUCUUGAGUGCAGAAGAGGAGAGUGGAACUCCAUGUGUAGCGGUGGAAUGCGUAGAUAUAUGGAAGAACACCAGUGGGCGAAGGCGGCUCUCUGGUCUGCAACUGACGCUGAGGCUCGAAAGCAUGGGUAGCGAACAGGAUUAGAUACCCCGGUAGUCCAUGCCGUAAACGAUGAGCGCUAGGUGUUGGGGACUUUCCGGUCCUCAGUGCCGCAGCAAACGCAUU
rnacentral:rRNA from 1 species